GAUAAGGAAACUGAGACCCAGGGAGAAGAAGGGAUUGCCCAAGGUCCAAGUAUGUGCUCUGCAGAACCAAGGCACAGAAGCCAGGAUCUGAACUGACUGCUCAGGUGGUCAAGAACUAUAACCUCCAUGGACAAAGAAAUGGAAAAGAAUGAAGCUGCGUAAAUACAACUAUAUUAACUCCCUGGAAAACCUCCUGCCAUUUUAACUCUGU